CACACAUAUGAAGCCCUAAUUCGCAGAUUUAGCUCCUGCAACCCUAUAAAACAUUAAAAAUAAAACUUAAUUCCACACACAAUCUCCUUAAUUACCUUUUUGCUUCAAGCACCAACUAAAUAACUUCAUAAACAAGGAACUACAGCUAAAUUUUUUAAAAAAAACGGUACUUCACAAAAAAAAAAACGCCACCUAUAACUUGAUAAACAAGAAAUUAAAGAAAAAUUCAACAAAACCAAACCAAAACAGAAAAAGAUCAAAACUUUCAUAGGCUAAUCACUACUAUCCAAAUCCCUAAUGUGCAUCGAAAUUCAACUAAACCCUAAAAAAACUCAAAUUCGAUCAAGUUACCGAAUUUUGCGGUUUUAAAUAAAAACCCUUUAAAAAGUCUCGAGCUUUAGCCUCCUCUUAUGGCGAACAACAAAACCGUAAUAAUUCACUGUCCAAUUGCUCGAAAUUGAACCAGAAAACAACGUUGAGAGCUUCAAAACAAGGAAAUUCGACAGCGUUUUGUGGGAAACGCGUAGAAUUGUGUGAGUUUUGAGUGGUAAUUGUUGGUGGGGUGGUUUUGGAGGGGAAAAUUAGGGUUUUGAGAGUGUGAAUAUUGUGGAACUUGAUUGAUUGAAAGAAUAAGAAGAGGGAAUGUGUCUCUUUUUUUUAAAAAAUAAAUAAAUAGAGUUUUAGCAAGAUUUAAGAGUAU
rnacentral:lncRNA from 1 species